rnacentral:tRNA from 1 species
GUGGGUAUAGCUCAGUGGUAGAGCACAUGCUUAGCAUGCAUGAGGUCCUGGGUUCAAUCCCGAGUACCGCCA